UCCCAGUGAUGAAAGUUUUAGCAAUCUGGAACGGUGAGAAAAUGGGACUCCCUCUUUGGAAAUUUUCCCAUGGUGGUUAAGGAACCAUUGUUGUAGAUUCUUGGCAACUUCUGAGGGUU
rnacentral:snoRNA from 14 species